UCAGUAACGGCGAGUGAAGCGGCAAAAGCUCAAAUUUGAAAUCCUCCGGGAAUUGUAAUUUGAAGGUGGGGUUGAAUAGGUCUAGAUACUUUAAGUCCAUUGGAAAAUGGCGCCAUGGAGGGUGAUAGCCCCGUAAAAGUAUUCAAAACCUUCUUUUCUUCCCCUCCUAAGAGUCGAGUUGUUUGGGAAUGCAGCUCUAAGUGGGUGGUAAAUUCCAUCUAAAGCUAAAUAUUGGCGAGAGACCGAUAGCGAACAAGUACAGUGAUGGAAAGAUGAAAAGCACUUUGAAAAGAGAGUGAAAAAGUACGUGAAAUUGUUGAAAGGGAAGGGCUUGCAAGCAGACACAACCUCGGUUGGGCCAGCAUCGGAGUGGGGGGAGACAAAAAAGGUUAGGAAUGUAACUCCCUUAGAGUAUUAUAUCCUAACCCCAUAUCUCCACCCCCUUCCGAGGCCUGCGAUUCUUCAAGGAUGCUGGCGUAAUGGUUGCAAGUCGCCCGUCUUG
rnacentral:rRNA from 1 species